GUAGCUGUAGCUCAUUGGUAGAGCGCCCGCCUUGCUCGUGUGAGGCACUGGGUUCAAUCUUCAGCAACACA
rnacentral:tRNA from 1 species